AGUGAACGCUGGCGGUAGGCCUAACACAUGCAAGUCGAACGGCAGCACAGUAAGAGCUUGCUCUUACGGGUGGCGAGUGGCGGACGGGUGAGGAAUACAUCGGAAUCUACUUUUUCGUGGGGGAUAACGUAGGGAAACUUACGCUAAUACCGCAUACGACCUACGGGUGAAAGCAGGGGAUCUUCGGACCUUGCGCGAUUGAAUGAGCCGAUGUCGGAUUAGAUAGUUGGCGGGGUAAAGGCCCACCAAGGCGACGAUCCGUAGCUGGUCUGAGAGGAUGAUCAGCCACACUGGAACUGAGACACGGUCCAGACUCCUACGGGAGGCAGCAGUGGGGAAUAUUGGACAAUGGGCGCAAGCAUGAUCCAGCCAUACCGCGUGGGUGAAGAAGGCCUUCGGGUUGUAAAGCCCUUUUGUUGGGAAAGAAAAGCAGCAGGUUAAUACCCCGCUGUUCUGACGGUACCCAAAGAAUAAGCACCGGCUAACUUCGUG
rnacentral:rRNA from 1 species